AUGUCGGCCUUCGACCCUUUUCCUCGUCGCCUGUGUGCUACUUUCAUCAAAGGGACCGAGCUCGUCUCGCACCCGACAGCAAGACCAUGCUCGUCUCACGCCCGAUGCCGCAGGACGGGUCGAUGGAGGCUAGUUUCAGCCGGCCUACUGGGUCUCGACACCGGGGGGCGCCUAGGGGUGCGAAAAAGGCGGGUCCUUUUCCCUCGUAUCAUAUGCGGCUUCAAUUGUUCGCGAUGGCAUGUUCAAGGCUGUCACCCUGGCCGCUCUUGCAGUGCUAGGGAUGGUGUUGCUGCGCUCAACGCCUAUGUGUGUUGUGGGUGCAUGCGUUUGUACCAGGACAAGAAUUGUAAAGUUUCAUAUGAUGCUACUAUUCAUGUAUUUCAUUCAAAGAAUGGAGAAGAGAAAAAUGUAGAAUUUUUUCCUUUAGUGUCACUUUCAAAAAAAACCAUAGAAAUUUUAAUAUCCACUUGGCCCUCCUUUUCAAAUUCAAGGAAAGCCUUUUUCAGUAAUAAAAUGGCAAGAUCUGUGCAAGGAUUGUGA
rnacentral:rRNA from 1 species